UUUGAUCACUUUCUGACAGUGGGUCCUGGCUAUAAGGAGCUGGCUUGGCAAAAAUGCUGAACAAUGGGUGUUUUAGUAUAUAACAGAAACAUGAAAGAAAAAAUUGUAAAACGUUCAAAGGAUAAGGUUAUCUCCCUCCUCCCGCAUACAUGGGAGCCACCAAUCGGAGCUCAUGGCCGAAGGGUACAAGGGAGCUCCCUCCCGGUGGUUGUUGGAUCAUGGCCGUCGGCGGAUCCGACUUCAGGAGGCGUCUGAGUCAUCUGCACGGACGAGAAGAGGAGUGCUCAUCGCCAUCAGCCUGUGUUGCACGCCGCCGCCAAACGUGCCAGUGUUGCGUGCCACCGCAACUUCUUGCACCGAUGGGAUGGCGGGGUCGCACCAGAGCCGAGCCGUUGCCGCUUGCUGUGCUGGGAGGGCAGGGUCGCGCCCUGCAUGUCACCGUCGCUUGCUUCGUUGGUAGGUUGGGUUCGCGUCGAUCUACAUGCCACCGUCGCUGCUUACUCUGCUAGGAGGGUGGGGUCGUGCCCGAGCUGUGCACCGCCGCUUGCUCUGCUCGGAGGUUGGGUUUGCGCCGGAGCUGCGCGCCGCCGCCGUCGCUUAUAGCUGCUCCAGCAAUGUUGUGCUCCGGCUCGCCGGCUACACAUCCAGAGAGAGAGAAAGAGAGGGGGGAUCUGACUGCUUUUUUAUUUGAUCGAGGGGUCUCUCUGUAAAGUGAUUGGACAAGACUAAUUUUUGUUGCCUAGUUAGCUCUCAUGAUUUGGUCCCACCUGUCAUAAACUUGUUUAAAUGUGUCAAAGCGGACGAUAAGUGCUAUUUGCAAAAAAUUUAUUGGAUGUGCG
rnacentral:lncRNA from 1 species